rnacentral:RNase_P_RNA from 2 species
CGGGCCGGCCAGACGGUCGCGGGUCCACGACCCGAGGAACGUCCGGGCUCCGCAGAGCAGGAUGGUGGGUAACGCCCACCCGGGGCAACCCGCGAGAAAGUGCCACAGAGAGUAGACCGCCCGCAAGGGUAAGGGUGAAAGGGUGGGGUAAGAGCCCACCGGGUGCCCGGUGACGGGCAUCGCACGGUAAACCUCAUCCGGAGCAAGGCCAACAGGGGAUGUCGACGCUGCUCGCCGAGUCCCCGGGUGCGCUGCUGGAGCGGCGCGGCAACGCGUCGCCGAGAUAGAUGGCCGUCACGGCGUGUCCGUACAGAACCCGGCGUAUCGGCCGACCCGCUCA